rnacentral:rRNA from 1 species
GACGGAAGGUGCAAGCGUUGCUCGGAAUCACUGGGCGUAAAGGGUGCGUAGGCGGCUUGGUAGGUCUGGUGUGAAAGCCCCGGGCUCAGCCCGGGAAGGGCACUAGAAACUGCCAAGCUAGAGUGCCGGAGGGGAGAGUGGAAUUCCUGGUGUAGCGGUGAAAUGCGUAGAGAUCAGGAGGAACACCAAUGGCGAAGGCGACUACCUGGCCUGUUCUUGACGCUGAGGCGCGAAAGCUAGGGGAGCAAACGGG